AGACCCGAAACCCGGUGAUCUAGCCAUGGGCAGGUUGAAGGUUGGGUAACACUAACUGGAGGACCGAACCGACUAAUGUUGAAAAAUUAGCGGAUGACCUGUGGCUGGGGGUGAAAGGCCAAUCAAACCGGGAGAUAGCUGGUUCUCCCCGAAAGCUAUUUAGGUAGCGCCUCGUGAAUUCAUCUCCGGGGGUAGAGCACUGUUUCGGCUAGGGGGCCAUCCCGGCUUACCAACCCGAUGCAAACUGCGAAUACCGGAGAAUGUUAUCACGGGAGACACACGGCGGGUGCUAACGUCCGUCGUGAAGAGGGAAACAACCCAGACCGCCAGCUAAGGUCCCAAAGUCAUGGUUAAGUGGGAAACGAUGUGGGAAGGCCCAGACAGCCAGGAUGUUGGCUUAGAAGCAGCCAUCAUUUAAAGAAAGCGUAAUAGCUCACUGGUCGAGUCGGCCUGCGCGGAAGAUGUAACGGGGCUAAACCAUGCACCGAAGCUGCGGCAGCGACACUGUGUGUUGUUGGGUAGGGGAGCGUUCUGUAAGCCUGUGAAGGUGUGUCGUGAGGCAUGCUGGAGGUAUCAGAAGUGCGAAUGCUGACAUAAGUAACGAUAAAGCGGGUGAAAAGCCCGCUCGCCGGAAGACCAAGGGUUCCUGUCCAACGUUAAUCGGGGCAGGGUGAGUCGACCCCUAAGGCGAGGCCGAAAGGCGUAGUCGAUGGGAAACGGGUUAAUAUUCCCGUACUUGGUGUUACUGCGAAGGGGGGACGGAGAAGGCUAUGUUGGCCGGGCGACGGUUGUCCCGGUUUAAGCGUGUAGGUGUGUGUUCCAGGUAAAUCCGGUUCACUUUAACACUGAGGCGUGACGACGAGGCACUACGGUGCUGAAGCAACAAAUGCCCUGCUUCCAGGAAAAGCCUCUAAGCAUCAGGUAACAUCAAAUCGUACCCCAAACCGACACAGGUGGUCAGGUAGAGAAUACCAAGGCGCUUGAGAGAACUCGGGUGAAGGAACUAGGCAAAAUGGUGCCGUAACUUCGGGAGAAGGCACGCUGACACGUAGGUGAAGUGAUUUACUCAUGGAGCUGAAGUCAGUCGAAGAUACCAGCUGGCUGCAACUGUUUAUUAAAAACACAGCACUGUGCAAACACGAAAGUGGACGUAUACGGUGUGACGCCUGCCCGGUGCCGGAAGGUUAAUUGAUGGGGUCAGCGCAAGCGAAGCUCCUGAUCGAAGCCCCGGUAAACGGCGGCCGUAACUAUAACGGUCCUAAGGUAGCGAAAUUCCUUGUCGGGUAAGUUCCGACCUGCACGAAUGGCGUAAUGAUGGCCAGGCUGUCUCCACCCGAGACUCAGUGAAAUUGAACUCGCUGUGAAGAUGCAGUGUACCCGCGGCAAGACGGAAAGACCCCGUGAACCUUUACUAUAGCUUGACACUGAACAUUGAGCCUUGAUGUGUAGGAUAGGUGGGAGGCUUUGAAGCGUGGACGCCAGUCUGCGUGGAGCCGACCUUGAAAUACC
rnacentral:rRNA from 1 species